GCACCAUAGACUUCAUUUUUGGUAAUGCAGCAGUUGUAUUUCAAAAUUGCAUAAUUUAUGUGAGGAAGCCUUUGAAUGGUCAAGCAAAUAUGAUCACGGCACAAGCCCGUAAUGACCCUUUCCAAAACACUGGAAUUGCAAUCCACAAUUCGCAAAUUUUGCCCGCACCGGACCUGAAACCGGUGGCUGGUGCAUUUCAGACAUACUUAGGGAGGCCAUGGAUGCAGUACUCUCGAACGGUGGUUCUUAAGACUUACCUUGAUGGUUUCAUUAAUCCUGCUGGUUGGUCACAAUGGGGAAAUGGUAACUUUGCUCUGGACACGUUGUACUAUGGAGAGUACAAGAAUUUUGGGCCUGGGUCUUCCACCAAGCAAAGGGUUACGUGGAAAGGGUUUCAUGUCAUAACUAGCAGCAUUGAGGCCUCUCGUUUCACUGUUGCCAGCCUUAUUGCCGGUCAGUCAUGGUUGCCAGCCACCGGUGUUCCAUUUAUUUCUGGCCUUUGAAUUUUCCCUAUUUAUGAUGCUUUUUUUAAAUACAUUAAUUUCUUUAUUGAUUCCAUUGGAAUUCUUUGUAAAUUUUAUUACACAUUAAUCUAAAAGAUAUAACACUCUUCCUGAUUUGAG
rnacentral:misc_RNA from 1 species